GACGAACCGUGCGAACGUUAUUCGGAAUCAUUGGGCUUAAAGGGCGCGUAGGCGGGUCGGUACGUCGGUCGCUGAAAUCCCCCGGCUUAACCGGGGACGUGGCACCGAUACGGCCGACCUGGAGGCGAGGAGGGGGACCUGGAACGUCCGGUGGAGCGGUGAAAUGCGUUGAGAUCGGACGGAACGCCGACGGCGAAAGCAAGGUCCUGGACUCGUACUGACGCUGAGGCGCGAAAGCCAGGGGAGCGAACGGG
rnacentral:rRNA from 2 species